AUUCAAUUCCGGUGCCGGCGGUUUAGCGAACCAGCUUAUGCACACGGGUGGAAUGGGAAACUUCCAUGAUGUCGGCCAGCAUCACAGCAGCCUCAGUUCCAUCACCCAAGCCGAGAACACAGACAACCACAACAUCGGCGGAGGCCAAGUGUUCGACACAGGCGCCCUGUCUGGCACAGGCUUUAACCAGUUCGGGAACGGUGGCAGCCGUUAUGGAAACGGCUUCGGAAGCGGACAGCUAAUGAACUCGUUCAUCUAAUAUAUGUAUAUAUGUGAUUAAAUUAAUUGUAACAAAUAAAUUAGGAUAUAAAUUUUA